GUGGGGAAGAAGACAGGAUGCAGCAAGAUGGCCUCUCUCCGCACGUAUAUUUUUUUUAAAAAAAUGUUAUGGGAUCAAUGGACUUCAUUAAUAGAAGAAGGCUUUUGGCUUUUGGGUUAAAAUAGAUGCGGGAGGAAAUAUCCCGUCCCACAUCAUAUUCUUUAAGAAUUGUUGCGCCGGAAAAAUGGUGCUUGUUAAAUUUACAUACAAAAUUUCACGGACUCACCGAUGCGAUUGAAAUUUAAUAU
rnacentral:lncRNA from 1 species